UGUUUUUGUUAUUUUUAAUAAUUUCUUUGUUUAAAUGUUACUCUCGUACUCUUUCACAAUAAGUAUAAUAGAUAAAAGUUAGUGCAAUUGAUGAAAUUACAAUAGACACUUAACAAAUAAUAUGUGCGUGGAGAUCUCAUACAAAACGUGUGAAUAUAUUAUGAAGUUAGGGAUGGCAACUAUUGAGGAGAAGCGAAACAUUUACAUAUUAAAAACUGUCCAAAUUGUUUAUUCUAAUUUUUUGAGAGAAUAAAUAAAUGGGCGGGCGAGUCAACUCGCCCAAGAGUCGUUUAAACUACAAAUGAGUUACUAGUGAUCGGAGAAAUCUACUAUAUCUAAGACACUUAAAAAUGAAAUACUACUUUCAAUAAGGAUAGAAUUCUUCCAGAAUACCUUUUCGUUCAUAGAGAAUAAGUCAAAAAUGUAAAAUUUCUAACUUUAACAAGUUUACCUUUUUAGAGUAGUGUAAUAAUUAAAUAAAGAGGAGAUAAAAAGUGUUUUAAUGGUUGUAAUGAUUGUAGGAGUACAUGGCAAGUCAAAAAUCGAAAAAAAAAACAAAAAUGUAGCAAUAAAUAUAGUACGAAGAAUACAGUUUUUUCCUUUAAAAUGAUUCUGAUGUUUCGUUUUGUGUUCUAUUUAAUGCAAUCUUUUGAUGUAUGACACUUGUCCUAUCUCAAUUUUUUUAUGAUUCAUAAUCAAAACUACAUUUUAAUGUCUAUAUAUAAUACAUAUAUAUAUGUUCGGACAUUUGACUAUUGCCGACUUGAGAAUGGAUUUGACUUGAGCCAUUCAUUUAAUGAUAUCAUCGAACCGAGCUAACGAUAAUCUUUCUGAUUGCCGUAUUUACAAAAAGCUGAAAAAUCCGAUGAGCUUCAAGAUAAAAGUAAUGCGAAAAUAAUCGAUGGUGCUCAUCACUAAAAAAAUUCACAAAUUAUCAAACUUUUGAAAUAAAUUUCUUCAUAUUCUUCUGUCUAUUAUGAAAGAAGUGAAAUACAAAAAUAAAUAAGAAUCUAUCGUGGAACUGAAUUAACUAUGUCUACAGAUUGCGGAAACCAGCGUAUUGGUGACAAAUCGAUUAUGGAAGAUAAUCAAUCAUUGAAUGAAACUAGCAAAUUAAAAGUCAUCAAUCACGAAGUACAGUCACUACAAAAGCAGCAACGUCUCACUUCGCUAUUACCGGAAUAUAAUAAAGUGCAGUAUCUUCUCUUAUCGGAUACUACGACUAACUGUGCUCCAUUACAUUUACGUAAUAUUUUAAAUCACUUCAACGAGUCGCAAUUAAAUCAGUUCGAUCUGCUAUUUGUACUUAUUUAUACAGUGGCUUUAGAAUCGGGUUAUAUGUGUAAGUCUGAUCAUAUUCAGACUAUGGUAUCACCAUUGUCGUCGACCAGUUCUUUUCAUUCGAAAAAUGUUGAACGUUUAAGUAAAUUAAAGCCAAUUUUUACCGUGACACCGGAUAAAAAAAAAUUCACCAUGAAAUUAAACUCUGUUGUCGAUGAUAGACAGGUGACUGCAGAGAAGAUAUAUGCUUUGUUAACCGCCACUGUUUGCGAUGAUUUAAUGAUAGUUACCUUAUCGCCGGCAAAUUGUUUGAAUUCUGGGGGCUUCAGCACAGUGCUCUUGAUAUCGCGCUAUGUACUUGAUGAAGAGAACGAUGUUAAGCUAUCGUUUCAUCGUUUUUGCAAAAUGCCCGAACUGACUACUAUAUUGCGGGACAAGCUAUUUGUGCCGAUGCGCAAUAAGCACUUGAGCUGGAUGCAGGCUCAUAUCUAUCCUUCGUUAGAUGCCAUGCCCGUUGAAUUAUAUGAAAAUCUCCUGCAGUAUUUAAAUAAAUACGAACUGAAUUCUUUAGCAAAAGUUAAUUGGAAUCUGUUCAAUGUAACGGUACGCAGUAAACAUUAUGAAAACUUACGGAAAACUGAUGAACACGUAAGAUUCACCUGAGUUGUGUGCUGCGCGCUCAAUUCCGUGUCCAAACUUUGCUAAUAGCACAAAUAUUAAAGAAGGUUUGCAACGUGGUUUUUCUCACUCUUGGCCAAAAAAAAAGAAAUAAAGAAUAAAGAGCGAAAUAUUUCUAGG